rnacentral:rRNA from 1 species
GACGAACGCUGGCGGCGUGCUUAACACAUGCAAGUCGAACGGAAAGGCCUUGCUUUUUUGGUGUUCUCGAGUGGCGAACGUGUGUGUAACACGUGAGUAACCUGCCCUUGACUUUGGUAUAACUUCAGGAAACUGUGGCUUAUACCGGAUAGGAUCUUCUUCUGCAUGGUGUUGGUUGGAAAGUUUCGGCGGUUGGGGAUGGACUCGCGGCUUAUCAGCUUGUUGUUGGGGUAGUGGCUUACCAAGGCUUUGACGGGUAGCCGGCCUGAGAGGGUGACCGGCCACAUUGGGACUGAGAUACGGCCCAGACUCCUACGGGAGGCAGCAGUGGGGAAUAUUGCACAAUGGGCGGAAGCCUGAUGCAGCAACGCCGCGUGCGGGAUGACGGCCUUCGGGUUGUAAACCGCUUUCGCCUGUGACGAAGCGUGAGUGACGGUAAUGGGUAAAGAAGCACCGGCUAACUACGUG